GAUGAACGCUGGCGGCGUGCCUAAUACAUGCAAGUCGAGCGAACGGACGAGAAGCUUGCUUCUCUGAUGUUAGCGGCGGACGGGUGAGUAACACGUGGAUAACCUACCUAUAAGACUGGGAUAACUUCGGGAAACCGGAGCUAAUACCGGAUGAUAUUUUGAACCGCAUGGUUCAAAAGUGAAAGACGGUCUUGCUGUCACUUAUAGAUGGAUCCGCGCUGCAUUAGCUAGUUGGUAAGGUAACGGCUUACCAAGGCAACGAUGCAUAGCCGACCUGAGAGGGUGAUCGACCACACUGGAACUGAGACACGGUCCAGACUCCUACGGGAGGCAGCAGUAGGGAAUCUUCCGCAAAGGGCGAAAGCCUGACGGAACAACGCCGCGUGAGUGAUGAAGGUCUUCGGAUCGUAAAACUCUGUUAUUAGGGAAGAACAUAUGUGUAAGUAACUGUGCACAUCUUGACGGUACCUAAUCAGAAAGCCACGGCUAACUACGUG
rnacentral:rRNA from 1 species